CUUGCUCCUGUGACUGAGCAACAGAGUCGCCGAGCUUAAUUAUCUCUCUCUCUCUCUCGUUCUGUCCCGUGAAAAACCCUACCGAAGUUCGACUGACGAUUUAAAGAACUCAGCAGCUGAGCUCCCUCCGGUCAUACCCUCCUCUCUCUCUUUCACUGUCUGCGAUGGAGGGCGUGAGGAUGCAAUUACAGUUCGAGGAUCGCCGCAUUCUGAGCAAGUCCCAGAGGAAGGAAGGCCUCAAGAGGAGCUGGAUUAGGCUGAAGCCUCAGCACGAGACAGUCUGCAACCUCACCUCUCACAUCCUCCACGCCUUCGAGCUGCAGGACUCGUGCCCCCACGGUCUCAUUCUCUCCGUUUGUUCUGUGCUCAAAUUCAGCUGAUUGGGAGAAUGGUUUCUGGUUCUGCACAUCCUCUCCCCCUGAUUGCCGAUAGUGUCCCCCUGCUGGUGAGGAAUCCGCCCCCGAGUCGUCGGUCUGUUGCGUUUGGACGAGGAGAAGCCGAGAAGAGGCUCGAACCCGUAAAAAUCUUGCUAUGCUCGAAGGAGAAGACGAAGCUUAGCCUCCAGUCGACAGAAGUCACUGAUGAGUGAUGACUGAAACUGAAGAGUGAAGAUGAAGAAAUGGGGUUUCAAUUUCAGCGUUUCAGCCUUCAAAAUCUUCAAUCGUCAAUCGUCAAUUUGGCUAGGGUUUCGUCUGGAUGAAGGGGUAGCUCAUUUUCGGGUUCAGAUCGGGGGAUUCUGAACCCAUGAAACCAAUCGGUUCGAAUGGGUUCGAUGGGUUUAUCUAAAAAUCGUUCGGUUUUGUGGGUUCACCGGUCUGUUUGUGCAUUUUCGGUUUUUUAGCUAACCGGACCGAACAUAGGUCCGGUUUCCGAUCCGAUCGGUCGAACCGUCCGGUCCGGUCCGGUUUUGAUAACACUGAUAAAAUGUGACAUAAAUUAAAUAUAUUAAGUUGCUUUUUUUAGAGAGAUAUUUUUGAUCCUAUAAAUUUGACAUUCAGUUAAUUUUGGCUCUAUAAAAUUUAAAAGUGUCGAAUCAGUCCUAUACG